rnacentral:rRNA from 1 species
UUCUUUAUCACCGAGUGCUUGCACUCACCGAUAAAGAGUUGAGUGGCGAACGGGUGAGUAACACGUGGGCAACCUGCCCAAAAGAGGGGGAUAACACUUGGAAACAGGUGCUAAUACCGCAUAACCAUAGUUACCGCAUGGUAACUAUGUAAAAGGUGGCUAUGCUACCGCUUUUGGAUGGGCCCGCGGCGCAUUAGCUAGUUGGUGGGGUAAAGGCUUACCAAGGCAAUGAUGCGUAGCCGAACUGAGAGGUUGAUCGGCCACAUUGGGACUGAGACACGGCCCAAACUCCUACGGGAGGCAGCAGUAGGGAAUCUUCCACAAUGGGCGAAAGCCUGAUGGAGCAACGCCGCGUGGGUGAAGAAGGUCUUCGGAUCGUAAAACCCUGUUGUUAGAGAAGAAAGUGCGUGAGAGUAACUGUUCACGUUUCGACGGUAUCUAACCAGAAAGCCACGGCUAACUACGUGCCAGCAGCCGCGGUAAUACGUAGGUGGCAAGCGUUAUCCGGAUUUAUUGGGCGUAAAGGGAACGCAGGCGGUCUUUUAAGUCUGAUGUGAAAGCCUUCGGCUUAACCGGAGUAGUGCAUUGGAAACUGGGAGACUUGAGUGCAGAAGAGGAGAGUGGAACUCCAUGUGUAGCGGUGAAAUGCGUAGAUAUAUGGAAGAACACCAGUGGCGAAAGCGGCUCUCUGGUCUGUAACUGACGCUGAGGUUCGAAAGCGUGGGUAGCAAACAGGAUUAGAUACCCUGGUAGUCCACGCCGUAAAC